rnacentral:rRNA from 1 species
UAGGGAAUCUUCCGCAAUGGGCGAAAGCCUGACGGAGCAACGCCGCGUGAGUGAUGAAGGUCUUCGGAUCGUAAAACUCUGUUAUUAGGGAAGAACAAAUGUGUAAGUAACUAUGCACGUCUUGACGGUACCUAAUCAGAAAGCCACGGCUAACUACGUGCCAGCAGCCGCGGUAAUACGUAGGUGGCAAGCGUUAUCCGGAAUUAUUGGGCGUAAAGCGCGCGUAGGCGGUUUUUUAAGUCUGAUGUGAAAGCCCACGGCUCAACCGUGGAGGGUCAUUGGAAACUGGAAAACUUGAGUGCAGAAGAUGAAAGUGGAAUUCCAUGUGUAGCGGUGAAAUGCGCAGAGAUAUGGAGGAACACCAGUGGCGAAGGCGACUUUCUGGUCUGUAACUGACGCUGAUGUGCGAAAGCGUGGAGAUCAAACAGG